rnacentral:rRNA from 1 species
GACGAACGCUGGCGGCGUGCCUAAUACAUGCAAGUUGAGCGCUGAAGGUUGGUACUUGUACCGACUGGAUGAGCAGCGAACGGGUGAGUAACGCGUGGGGAAUCUGCCUUUGAGCGGGGGACAACAUUUGGAAACGAAUGCUAAUACCGCAUAAAAACUUUAAACACAAGUUUUAAGUUUGAAAGAUGCAAUUGCAUCACUCAAAGAUGAUCCCGCGUUGUAUUAGCUAGUUGGUGAGGUAAAGGCUCACCAAGGCGAUGAUACAUAGCCGACCUGAGAGGGUGAUCGGCCACAUUGGGACUGAGACACGGCCCAAACUCCUACGGGAGGCAGCAGUAGGGAAUCUUCGGCAAUGGACGAAAGUCUGACCGAGCAACGCCGCGGGAGUGAAGAAGGUUUUCGGAUCGUAAAACUCUGUUGGCAGAGAAGAACGUUGGUGAGAGUGGAAAGCUCAUCAAGUGACGGUAACUACCCAGAAAGGGACGGCUAACUACGUG